GAUGAACGCUAGCUACAGGCUUAACACAUGCAAGUCGAGGGGAAACGACAUCGAAAGCUUGCUUUUGAUGGGCGUCGACCGGCGCACGGGUGAGUAACGCGUAUCCAACCUGCCCAUCACUUGGGAAUAACCUUGCGAAAGUAAGACUAAUACCCAAUGACAUCCCACGAAGACAUCUGAAUGGGAUUAAAGAUUUAUCGGUGAUGGAUGGGGAUGCGUCUGAUUAGCUUGUUGGCGGGGUAACGGCCCACCAAGGCAACGAUCAGUAGGGGUUCUGAGAGGCAGGUCCCCCACAUUGGAACUGAGACACGGUCCAAACUCCUACGGGAGGCAGCAGUGAGGAAUAUUGAUCAAUGGGCGAGAGCCUGAACCAGCCAAGUAGCGUGCAGGAUGACGGCCCUAUGGGUUGUAAACUGCUUUUAUAAGGGAAUAAAGUGGGUCUCGUGAGACUUUUUGCAUGUACCUUAUGAAUAAGGACCGGCUAAUUCCGUG
rnacentral:rRNA from 1 species